UUGUUAAUAAUAAUUUAAAAAAAAAACAACAACAAACAAGUUGUAUCAGUACAGUAUUUAAGAUUCCAUCCUUUGGAAGCCUGGUUCAGCUGUUCUAGAAGUAUGAAGGAACAGCUACACGUGCAGAGUGAUGCAGAGUCGCUGGUGACAGGGCCUGCAGCUCCUCAGGCACUGCGCUCCCAGUCCCUUCCAUGGCACACUGACUGGAGCACAUGCUGCACACCCACACUCAUUAUGACGCAGCUGGGGAAGCAGAAAGGGUGUUCCACAGGGUACUGCACAAACUGAACAGCCCACAGACUGAACCUCCUCUGCAACACAUACAGGAAGAACUUUUAAAGCAAAUUCUAACCCUGAGACCACCUUCUACAAUCUCAGCAGUGCAGCCUUCUCAGAUGGCUUGUGAUAGAGCCCAGAUCACUUGGUGUCAGUAUGUGCCUUCCUGGUAGUGAGACUGCAGUGUGCAUCUUGGCUGCCCAGUUCUUGCUUUUAGGGCCACUGGAACAGUCACAGACUAUCAGUAAUCUGUAAGGAUCAGGCUAAGAUGCAAUUGCAGGAGCAGCUGGGUGGAGUUGGGAGGGCUGCCUACACAGAGAUGGACUGAUACCCAGGCAGUCCUUACCCCUCAGUCCAAGCACUCACAUACAAUCAAACGCACAGAACUGUCACAUCUUGAGUUCUAGAGAGGAACCUGCAAGAACAGGAUGGUUUAUGACAAGCUUCAGUGAAACAAAAAAUGCACUCAUCACAAACACAAAAGUAAAGAGAAAAAGGAUGAGAAAGGGAACAGAACCUGAACUCGCGGCCUCCUACACCAAAGUCAGCAAAUUGCAUCAAUUUGUGCUAGCCAGCUCAAGAUCUCUGGUCAAAAAUGAAAGCACAAGAAUUUCCAGCAUGUUUAAUUAAUAACCACAGGGAACCUGGUACAGCCUCACAGAUGGAAUAACAUACUGAAAUUGGCAAAAGAAAAUAAUUUUGUAGAAGGGCCACAGAGUUGAAGUCCACUUCUGGAAGGAUGCCAAAUUUCACGGGAACACAACAUCAGCAGCUUUCAAUCAUUUACAAAGACAGCAGUGAUUAAGAGAAGAGCAAGUCUGCCUCUUAGUAUUCAUUGUCACCUUUUCUGCUCUGUGGUCUUGCUCCUGUGCCAGGUGAGUGUCUCUGUGUGCACUUUCAAGAAGCUGCCUGACACAUGGGCAAGCACUUUUCCUGGCUUGUAAGAAAUGUGUUGUUUUAACAAA